UACGUAGGCAGCGAGCGUUGUUCGGAGUUACUGGGCGUAAAGCGUGCGUAGGCGGUGUCUUAAGUUUGUUGUGAAAUCUCCCGGCUUAACCGGGAGGGUGCGGCGAAUACUGAGAUGCUGGAGUGCGGGAGAGGUAAGCGGAAUUCCUGGUGUAGCGGUGAAAUGCGUAGAUAUCAGGAGGAACACCGGUGGCGAAGGCGGGUCUCUGGGCCGAUAUUGACGCUGAGGAGCGAAAGCGUGGGGAGCGAACAGG
rnacentral:rRNA from 1 species